GUGUCAGCAGCCGCGGUAAUACGGAGGGUGCAAGCGUUGUUCGGAAUUACUGGGCGUAAAGCGCGUGUAGGCGGCCUAUUAAGUCAGAUGUGAAAGCCCUUGGCUCAACCAAGGAAUUGCAUUUGAAACUGGUUGGCUUGAGUACGGGAGAGGAGAGUGGAAUUCCCGGUGUAGAGGUGAAAUUCGUAGAUAUCGGGAAGAACACCGGUGGCGAAGGCGGCUCUCUGGACCGAUACUGACGCUGAGACGCGAAAGCGUGGGGAGCAAACAGGAUUAGAAACCCGUGUAGUCC
rnacentral:rRNA from 1 species